rnacentral:rRNA from 1 species
UACGGAGGGUGCAAGCGUUAUCCGGAUUCACUGGGUUUAAAGGGUGCGUAGGCGGAUAGGUAAGUCCGUGGUGAAAUCCUGCAGCUUAACUGCAGAACUGCCAUGGAUACUAUUUAUCUUGAAUGUCGUGGAGGUUAGCAGAAUAUGUCAUGUAGCGGUGAAAUGCUUAGAUAUGACAUAGAACACCAAUUGCGAAGGCAGCUCACUACACAAUCAUUGACUCUGAGGCACGAAAGCGUGGGGAUCAAACAGG